ACUCAAUAGAUACCCUGGUAGUCCUGACAGUAAACGGUGCACGCUUGGUGUGGGAAGUGACCCUUUCCGUGCCGAAAGCUAAACGCGAUAAGCGUGCCGCCUGGGAAGUACGAUCGCAAGAUUAAAACUCAAAGAAAUUGACGGGGACCCGCACAAGCGGUGGAGUAUGUGGCUUAAUUCGAUGCAACGCGAAGAACCUUACCUGGCCUUGACAUGCAUUGUGUCGGUGGUGAAAGCUGCCUAGUGUAGCAAUACACGCUUUGCACAGGUGCUGCAUGGCUGUCGUCAGCUCGUGUCGUGAGAUGUUGGGUUAAAGUCCCGCAACGAGCGCAACCCCUGUAGUCCGUUGCCACCGGUUUUACCGUAGCACUUGGACUAGACUGCCCAGAUCAACUGGGAGGAAGGUGGGGAGUGACGUCAAGUCCGUAUGGCCUUACGGCCAGGGCUGCACACGUACUACAAUGCCCAGUACAAAGUGAACCGAGACCGCGAGGUGGAGGAAAUCGAGAAAACUGGGCUCAGUUCAGAUU
rnacentral:rRNA from 1 species